UUCGCCCAGAUAGCGGCAAACGGGUGAGGAACACGUGAGUAAUUUUCCUUAAAGUUAGGCAUAGCUUCGUGAAAACGGAGAUAAUUCCUAAUGUGGUCCAGAUACCUCAUGGUAACUGGAUUAAAGGUGGGGACCUUCGGGCCUACCGCUUUUUGAUGAACUCGCGUCCUAUCAGCUUGUUGGUGGGGUAAUGGCCUACCAAGGCGUAUGACGGGUAGCUGGUCUGAGAGGAUGGUCAGCCACACUGGGACUGAAACACUGCCCAGACUCCUACGGGAGGCUGCAGUCGAGAAUCUUUAGCAAUGGGCGAAAGCCUGACUAAGCGACGCCGCGUGAGGGACGAAGGUCUUCGGAUCGUAAACCUCUUUUAUUGGGAAAGAAACCUUUAACUCUAACAUAGUUAAAGCUGACGGUACCCAAAGAAUAAGCCACGGCCAACUCCGUGCCAGCAGCCGCGGUAAUACGGAGGUGGCAAGCGUUACUCGGAUUUAUUGGGUGUAAAGGGCAAGUAGGCGGUUUAUUAAGUGAGGGGUGAAAGCUUCCGGCUCAAUCGGAAAAUUGCCUUUCAAACUAAUAGACUUGAGGUUGGAAGAGGGAAAUGGAAUUAGCGGUGUAAGGGUGAAAUCUGUAGAUAUCGCUAAGAACACCAGCGGCGAAGGCGAUUUCCUGGUCCAAAUCUGACGCUAAAUUGCGAAAGCUAGGGUAGCGAACAGAAUUAGAUACUCUGGUAGUCCUAGCUGUAAACGAUGAGCACUAGGUGUUGGUCUCUUUGAGAUCGGUGCCGCAGCUAACGCAUUAAGUGCUCCACCUGGGGACUACGGCCGCAAGGCUAAAACUCAAAGGAAUUGACGGGGACCCGCACAAGCGGUGGAACAUGUGGUUUAAUUCGAUGCUACGCGAAGAACCUCACCAGGGUUUGACAUGCCCGUUAUAUCUCCCUGAAAGGGGAGAGUCAUUUAGUUGGACGGUGCACAGGUGCUGCAUGGCUGUCGUCAGCUCGUGUCGUGAGAUGUUGGGUUAAGUCCCGCAACGAGCGCAACCAUUGCCCUAUGUUGCUACCCCUUAAUAGUGCUUGCAUUAUUAAGGGCGCACUCUUAGGGGACUGCCUGGGAUAACCAGGAGGAAGGUGGAGAUGACGUCAAGUCAGUACGGCCUUUAUACCCUGGGCUACACACGUGUUACAAUGGAUGGUACAAAGGGUUGCCAACCCGCGAGGGGGAGCUAAUCUCAAAAAACCAUCCCCAGUUCGGAUUGGAGUCUGCAAUUCGACUCCAUGAAGCCGGAAUCGCUAGUAAUGAGAGAUCAGCUCGCUCUCGUGAAUACGUUCCCGGGUCUUGUACACACCGCCCGUCAAGCGAUGAAAGCUGGAAGUACCCGAAGUCCUAUGUAGGUAGGCCGAAGGUAAAGCUGGUGAUUGGCGCUAAGUCGUAACAAGGUA
rnacentral:rRNA from 1 species